rnacentral:rRNA from 1 species
AACGUAGGUGGCAAGCGUUAUCCGGAUUCACUGGGCGUAAAGCGCACGCAGGCGGUGAGGUAGGUAGGGCAUGAAAGCGCCUGGCUUAACUGGGCGAGGCUGUCCUAUACCACCUCACUUGAGGACAGGAGAGGGACGUGGAACUGCCGGUGUAGUGGUGAAAUGCGUAGAGAUCGGCGAAGAACACCAGUGGCGGAAGGCGGC